GAUGAACGCUGGCGGCGUGCCUAAUACAUGCAAGUCGAGCGAACAGACGAGGAGCUUGCUCCUCUGACGUUAGCGGCGGACGGGUGAGUAACACGUGGAUAACCUACCUAUAAGACUGGGAUAACUUCGGGAAACCGGAGCUAAUACCGGAUAAUAUAUUGAACCGCAUGGUUCAAUAGUGAAAGACGGUUUUGCUGUCACUUAUAGAUGGAUCCGCGCCGCAUUAGCUAGUUGGUAAGGUAACGGCUUAUCAAGGCAACGAUGCGUAGCCGACCUGAGAGGGUGAUCGGCCACACUGGAACUGGGACACGGUCCAGACUCCUACGGGAGGCAGCAGUAGGGAAUGUUCCGCAAUGGGCGAAAGCCUGGCGGAGCAACGCCGCGUGAGUGAUGAAGGUCUUCGGAUCGUAAAACUCUGUUAUUAGGGAAGAACAAAUGUGUAAGUAACUAUGCACGUCUUGACGGUACCUAAUCAGAAAGCCACGGCUAACUACGUG
rnacentral:rRNA from 1 species